UUGUGGAUUGAACACCGCAGGUCCGUGUUGACAGUUCCACAGUGGGUGACAAGGUCUCACUGUUUUGCCCAGAUGGUUAGACCAGCACUGUUUUCAGACCAGAGACACGGGCCCGAGCCCGCUUCUCCAGAUCCGCCCGCGGGGAUGCCUACCUGCUUCUCCUCUCAGCGCCUUCUCUAGCCUCACGCCCUGGAUCUCGGAAGCCCUCUGCCACUCCUCCACCUCUUCCAGCUGCCUCUGGAUGGCCUGCAAUGCCAGGAUCAUACGUCACGCAGGUACUUUCAACGUGCAGAGUCAUGCAAGGGCGCCAAUUCUGCCACCUACUUUCCAAGAGGAAGAAGCCCUUUCCCUCGUGAUGCCACCUCCUCAAUUAAGUGGGUAAGGAAAUCAAAGCUCAGAGAAGUUAAAGAACUUGCCCAAGAUGACACAAUCAGGAACUGGUAGAGCCAGGAGCUAAGCCCAGAUCCUUACUGCUCCAAAAAAUAAACACUGCCAGAGCAGUGAACUGCUUCUGUCCGCCCAGGAAGCAUAUGAUGUCCAGCCAUUCAGCUCUUCCAGCCCCAGAGGAUAAAGAAAACAAUGGUGGGAUUUGGUCAUGGGAUGCGUGUC